UCAUUUUUUCAUGAUGCUGGAUGCACUUUUGACAAAGCUUCGGUGCCCAAGGAUGAGUUGGCGGCAGAUUAGGCUGUUGGUGGUGUAAUGGACCACCAAACCUGUGAUCUGUAGGGGGGAUGAGAGUCCGAGCCCCGAGAAGGACACUGAGACAAGGGUCCUAGCCCUACGGGGUGCAGCAGAUGCGAAACCUGCACAAUGCGCGAAAGCGUGAUGCGGGGAGCCCGCGUGCUUGCGGAUAACGUAAGCUUUUCUAGAAUGUAAGGAGUUCUAGGAAUAAGUGGUGGGCAAGACCGGUGCCAGCCGCCGCGGUAAUACCGGCGCCACUGGUGGUAACCGCGUUUAUUGGGCCUAAAGCAUCCGUAGCCGGAUAAGUUAGUUUCCAGUGAAAUCCAACAGCUUAACUGUUGGGCGUGCUGGGAGCACUGCUUAUCUUGAGACCGGGAGGAGUUAAGAGAAUUUCUGGGGGAGCGGUAAAAUGUUGUAAUCCCAGGAGGACUACCUGUGGCGAAGGCGCUUAACGAGAACGGGUCUGACGGUCAGGGAUGAAAGCUAGGGGAGCAAACCGGAUUAGAUACCCGGGUAGUCCUAGCCGUAAACGCUGCUUGUUUGGUGUUGCAUAUCUUUCGCGGAUAUGCAGUACUGUAGUG
rnacentral:rRNA from 1 species